rnacentral:rRNA from 1 species
UACGUAGGGGGGCAAGCGUUGUCCGGAAUCAUUGGGCGUAAAGAGCGCGUAGGCGGCCCUGUAAGUCCGCUGUGAAAGUCAAGGGCUCAACCCUUGAAUGCCGGUGGAUACUGCAGGGCUAGAGUCCGGAAGAGGCGAGUGGAAUUCCUGGUGUAGCGGUGAAAUGCGCAGAUAUCAGGAGGAACACCGAUGGCGAAGGCAGCUCGCUGGGACGGUACUGACGCUGAGGAGCGAAAGCGUGGGGAGCGAACAGG